rnacentral:rRNA from 1 species
CCUACGGGUGGCAGCAGUGAGGAAUAUUGGUCAAUGGACGCGAGUCUGAACCAGCCAAGUAGCGUGAAGGAUGACGGCCCUAUGGGUUGUAAACUUCUUUUAUAUGGGAGUAAACUGUUCCACGUGUGGGUUUUUGUAUGUACCAUAUGAAUAAGGAUCGGCUAACUCCGUGCCAGCAGCCGCGGUAAUACGGAGGAUCCAAGCGUUAUCCGGAUUUAUUGGGUUUAAAGGGAGCGUAGGUGGUUUGUUAAGUCAGUUGUGAAAGUUUGGGGCUCAACCGUAAAAUUGCAGUUGAAACUGGCAGGCUAGAGUACAGUAGAGGUAGGCGGAAUGCGUGGUGUAGCGGUGAAAUGCUUAGAUAUCACGAAGAACUCCGAUUGCGAAGGCAGCUCACUGGACUGCAACUGACACUGAGGCUCGAAAGUGUGGGUAUCAAACAGGAUUAGAUACCCCAGUAGUC